rnacentral:rRNA from 1 species
AGAUUGAACGCUGGCGGCAGGCCUAACACAUGCAAGUCGAGCGGCAGCACGGGUACUUGUACCUGGUGGCGAGCGGCGGACGGGUGAGUAAUGCCUAGGAAUCUGCCUGAUAGGUGGGGGAUAACGUUCGGAAACGGACGCUAAUACCGCAUACGUCCUACGGGAGAAAGUGGGGAUCUUCGGACCUCACGCUAUCAGAUGAGCCUAGGUCGAUUAGCUAGUGGUAGGUAAGCUACAGCUACGAUCCGUAACUGGUCUGAGAGGAUGAUCAGUCACACUGGAACUGACGACACGGUACCAGACCUCCGUAACGGGAGCAGCAGUGGGAAUAGUGGACAAGUGGGACGAAAGCCUAGACUCAGCCAGUGCCGCGUGUAGUAGGAAGAAGGUUC